rnacentral:rRNA from 1 species
AUUGAACGCUGGCGGCAUGCCUAACACAUGCAAGUCGAACGGAGCGGCGGACGGGUGAGUAAUGUCUAGGAAUCUGCCUAGUAGCGGGGGAUAACUUCGCGAAAGCGGCGCUAAUACCGCAUACUAUUAGAGCAGCCUAGGUCGGAUUAGCUAGUUGGUGGGGUAAAGGCCUACCAAGGCGACGAUCCGUAACUGGUUUGAGAGGAUGAUCAGUCACACUGGAACUGAGACACGGUCCAGACUCCUACGGGAGGCAGCAGUGGGGAAUAUUGGACAAUGGGCGAAAGCCUGAGCCAGCCAUGCCGCGUGUGUGAAGAAGGUCUUCGGAUUGUAAAGCACUUUUAGCUGGGAGGCGUUACCAACAGAAUAAGCACCGGCUAACUUCGUGCCAGCAGCCGCGGUAAUUC